rnacentral:rRNA from 1 species
CAAUAGCGUAUAUUAAAGUUGUUGCGGUAAAAAAGCUCGUAGUUGGAUUUCUGUUGAGAGCGACCGGUCCAUACCAUGUAUGCGUAUCCGGCUUGCUCUCGGCAUCCUCUCGAUAGACGUUACUGCGCUUGAUUGCGUGGUGCGGAUCUCGGGACUUUUACUUUGAGGAAAUUAGAGUGUUCACGGCAGGCUUUCGCCAGAAUACAUUAGCAUGGAAUAAUACUAUAGGAUCUUGGUUCUAUUUUGUUGGUUUCUAGAAUUGAGAUAAUGAUUAAUAGGGACAAUUGGGGGCAUUCGUAUCAACACGUCAGAGGUGGAAUUCUUGGAUUGUGUUGCGACGAACUACUGCGAAAGCAUUUGCCAAGGAUGUUUUCAUUGA